GAAAUGCGAUAAGUAGUGUGAAUUGCAGAAUUCAGUGAAUCAUCGAAUCUUUGAACGCACAUUGCGCCCUUUGGUAUUCCUUAGGGCAUGCCUGUUCGAGCGUCAUCUAAACCUUCAAGCCCUGCUUGGUGUUGGGUGCCUGUCCCGCCUCCGCGCGCGGACUCACCUCAAAUCCAUUGGCGGCCCCCGCGUCGGCCACGAGCGCAGCAGAAACGCAAACUCGUGAGCCCGUCCGGGCGGCUCCCAGAAGCUACACCCACCCAGUUUGGCCUCGGAUCAGGUAGGGAUACCCGCUGAACUUAAGC
rnacentral:misc_RNA from 1 species